AGCGAACGCUGGCGGCAGGCCUAACACAUGCAAGUCGAACGGAUCCUUCGGGAUUAGUGGCGGACGGGUGAGUAACACGUGGGAACGUGCCCUUUGGUUCGGAACAACUCAGGGAAACUUGAGCUAAUACCGGAUGUGCCCUUCGGGGGAGAGAUUUAUCGCCAUUGGAGCGGCCCGCGUCUGAUUAGCUAGUUGGUGAGGUAACGGCCCACCAAGGCGACGAUCAGUAGCUGGUCUGAGAGGAUGAUCAGCCACACUGGGACUGAGACACGGCCCAGACUCCUACGGGAGGCAGCAGUGGGGAAUCUUGCGCAAUGGGCGAAAGCCUGACGCAGCCAUGCCGCGUGAAUGAUGAAGGUCUUAGGAUUGUAAAAUUCUUUCAGCGGGGACGAUAAUGACGGUACCCGCAGAAGAAGCUCCGGCUAACUUCGUG
rnacentral:rRNA from 1 species